GCAUCAACAUGAGUAAGUUAAGUAUCAAAAAUAAUAUUUAUUUUUAGAAUAGAUUUGUUACUUUUAUACAUUGAUUGGCUAAACUUAUUUUGCCCAGCAUCUUUUGACUAAUUUAGCACAGCUAAAACAUUGUUUUACAUCUCUCACUAAUAAUAAACCUUACAUUACUACAUCAAUUAAGUGCUCAGCACCUUUUUGCUCAUUUAUAUUGGGAACUGUAUACUAAGAUUCAUCUUUAUU
rnacentral:lncRNA from 1 species